UUUCUCUUUAGUGCCACACCUGCGGCAUAUGGAAGUUCCCAGGCUAGGGGUUGAAUCGGAGCUGUAGCCACCGGCCUAUGCCACAGCCACAGCAGUGUGCGAUCCGAGCCACCUCUGCGACCUACACCACAGCUCAGGGCAACGCGGGAUCCUUAACCCACUGAGCAAGGCCAGGGAUCGAACCGCGUCCUCAUGGAUACGCGUUAGGUUCGUUAACCGCUGAGCCACCACGGGAACUCCUGAACCAUAAACUUUAAAAAGUUAGAAUUGUUUUUUAAAAAACAUGUCAAAUUGUAUUAUUUUAAAUACCCAUUUAUCAUACGUCAAUUAUACCUUAACAAAGCUAUUUGAAAAAAAGACAAGACUCCAAGGUUAAUGUGCCCAAUAGGUGUGCAGGUUGGAGAGGGCUUGACAAUUCAGAUUACACUGGCUAGAGAGAGCGAGGGGCCAGUCCCUCGGAGUGACUUGGACGCCAAGCUAGGGCAGGCGAGAAAGAAAAGUCCAUGGGGGACAGAGGACCGGACUGGACCAGCAGGGAGGCCACCCAGGAGGAGCGCCCAGUUGCGCGCGCACCUGGCAGCGCAGGGGACUUUCUCCGGCUUGGCCAGUCAAGUCACCUGUUUUUUAAUUUUUUUUUAAUUCAGAAAACCUCUUAGAGUAUGUGCCCAGAAGAGGGUGAAACAAUUCACUCAUGGCUGCUCGUUCACUCUGUUUUAGUUUUGUUUGGACAAGUGAUGGGGAAAACGCUGCGAGUCGAGACAGGCAUCUAAGAAGACAGCCGUGCCCGUUAGGCCCCGACGCCACGCCGCCGUAAAUAAAUGGCCCUGGCCCCGCCUUUGCAGUCCUCUUUGUGCGGUAAACUCGUGGCUGGUGAGGAUGGCCGUCGCGGAGUUCGCCUGGCUUUUGCUGCGAAACCGUCCCCAAAGGCGGGGGAGGGUGCCGCCCGGCACAUUUGCUUAGCUGCGCACAUGCAGGCCCCUGGUGCUCGAAGGAAGAUCCGCAGCGCGACGAGGGUGAGUGGAUUGUGGGAAAUGCAGUGGCCAGAGGUCGCACUGGGGGAGGACGGAGGUAAUGAUGACCCCAGGUGA
rnacentral:lncRNA from 9 species